rnacentral:lncRNA from 1 species
GGGCCCUGGGUAGGUUCCUGUGGUAUUAGGUGGACUGGAGAAAGAGGCCCGCGUGAAUUAAGUGUAGUUCUCUUAUGCACUGGCGGACUCUGGUCGCCCUUCCUUGUGAAGGCUGCCUGGGUAGCCGUAGAGGACGAGGCCACUCUAAAGCCUCGUUUUCCCAGCGGAAUUUUAACUAUUCUAAGGAUGUCCUUACAGCCAGUUCCCCACUCCGCUACUCAGAGUGUGUCAGACUUUACCCUGUCCAUUCAACUCCAGAAAAACCGGGAGGUCUAGAUUCGGAAGAUUAAAUUUACCUUUGAAUUAGGACAUGUAAAAUAGGAAGUUAAUAUUAGCAUCCUAAUGACAAAAGUUUUCUCGUUAUCAUACUUGACUCAAAUGGGAAUCUUACGGAUAUUAAUGUUUUUUCCAGAAACAGGUUUGAAAGGUAUUUCAAGGAUAAAUCUGGGGAAAGGGAUGGAAGCAACUGAUUUUUAAUUUUUAGAUAGUACUCUCAGAGCAUUUAUUUAGUCCAAAACUGUUAAUUUAAUGAAUUAGGCUAAACUAGACGCUGGGGUAACAAAGCUGAGUUAGAUACCCUCUCCUCUGAGGCAGCUAAAGAGAAGGAAAGUCUGGUGGCUGACAAGUAAACCAACAGUUAUGUUCUUCAGAGAGGAGAUCUCAGACUCUCUAAGCAAAAGAAACUAAUAGCUGUAUGACAACAGCCAAAGAGUAAAUAUCCUUUCAAGUCCAAUCCUGCCUAAGAUGUCAAAAUCAAGAAUGAAGAGGUUAUGUGCUGAAACAGAAUGACCUUCACAAGAUGCAGCCUCUGGAUCUUGGACUUCCCCAGCCUCCAGAACUUUACCAUUUAUUACAAGGAAAGAAUACAGACUAACAUCAGCCAAGGGAAGAAACACGUAAGGCAGAGUCCAAAAGGGUACCAAACACAGCGCUUUUGCUAUACUCUUCCAUUAUUUGCUGUACUUUCCCAGUGGAGUCAAGACAUGUUACCCUCCCAAAAUCCAUCCAUGACAAUAUGCAAUAUAGAAUUGCCAGUAACCCUUUUCCUGUUUGCCCUAAGAAUACUCACGAGUGGCACUUGCAGCUGCAGCAUUUACCUUGAGAUUACUUUGCUGAUAUUGUUUGAUGUGUCCCCCCCCCAAAUCUCAUGUUGAAUUCCCAUGUGUUGUGGGAAGGACCCAUGGGAGGUAAUUGAAUCAUGGGGGCAGGUCUUUCCCUGCUGUUCUUGUAAUAGUGAAUAAGUCUCACAAGAUCAGAUAGUUUUAAAAUGGAAGUUUCCCUGCACAAGUUCUCUUCUCUUGUCUGCUGCCAUGUGAGAUGUACCUUUCAACUUCUGCCAUGAUUGUGAGGCCUCCCCAGCCAUGUGGAAUUGUAAGCCCAUUAAACCUCUUUCUUUUGUAAAUUGCCCAGUCUUGAGUAUGUUGGAUCUGUUUGGAGGGCUCUGAAGAAGACAGGAAAAUGUGGGAAAGUUUGGAACUCCCUAGAGACUUGUUGAAUGGCUUUGACCAAAAUGCUGAUAAUGAUAUAAACAAUGAAACCCAGGCUGAGGUGAUCUCAGAUGGAGAUGAGGAACUUGUUGGGAACUGGAGCAAAGGUGACUCUUGUUAUGUUUUAGCAAAGAAACUGGUAGCGUUUUGCCCCUGCCCUAGAGAUUUGUCGAACUUUGAAUUUGAGAGACAUGAUUUAGGGUAUCUGGCAGAAGAAAUUUCUAAGCAGCAAAGCAUUCAAGAGGUGACUUGGAUGCUGUUAAAAGCAUUCAGUUUAAAAGGGAAACAGAGCAUAAAAGUUUGGAAAUUCUGUAGCCUGACAAUGUAGAAAAGAAAAUCCCAUUUUUUGAGGAGAAAUUCAAGCUGGCUGCAGAAAUUUGCAUAACUAAUGAGGAGAUGAAUGUUAAUCACCAAGACAAUGGGGAAAAUGUCUCCAGGGCAUGUCACAGACCUUUGUGGCAGCCCCUCCCACCACAGGCCCAGAGGUUUAGGAGGAAAAAAUGGUUUCGUGGGCGGGGCCCAGGGUCCCUCUGCUGUGUGCAGUCUAGGGACUUGGUGCCCUGCAUCCCAGCCACUCCAGCCAUAACUAAAAAGGAUCAAGGUGCAGCAUGGGCUUUUGCUUCAGAAGGUAGAAGCCCCCAAGCCUUGGCAGCUUCCACAUGAUUUUAAGCCUGUGGAUGCACAGAUAUCAAGAACUGAGGUUUGGGAACCUCCACCUAGAUUUCAGAGGAUGAAAGGAAAUGCCUGGAUGCCCAGGCAGAAGUUUGCUACAGGGGUGGGGCCCUCUGGGAGAACCUCUGCUAGGGCAGUGUGGAAGGCAAGUAUGGGGUCAGAGCCCCCACACAGAGUCCCUACUGGGGCACUGCAGAGGGGAGCUUUGAGAAGAGAGCCACUGUCUUCAGACUCCGGAAUGGUAGAUCCACUGACAGCUUGCACCGUGUGCCUGGAAAAGCUGCAAACACUCACCACCAGUCCAUGAAAGCAGCCAGGAGGGAGACUGUACUCUGCAAAGCCACAGGGACUGAACUGCCCAAGACCAUGGGAACCCACCUCUUGCAUCAUCAUAGUCUGGAUGUGAGACACGGAGUCAAAGGAGAUCAUUUUGGAGCUUUAAGAUUUGACUGCUGGAUUUUGGACUUGCAUGGGCCCUGUAACCCCUUUGUUUUGGCCAAUUUCUCCCAUUAGGAAUGGCUGUAUUUACCCAAUGUCUGUACCCCAUUGUAUCUAGAAAGAAACUAACUUACUUUUAGGUUUACAGGCUCAUAAACUGAAGGCACUUGCCUUAUCUUGGAUGAGACUUUGGACUGUGGACUUUUGAGUUAAUGCUAAAAUUAGUGAAGACUUUGGGGGACCAUUGGCUUGGUUUUGAAAUAGGAGGACAUGAGAUUUGGGAGGGGGCCAGAGGCAGAAUGACGUGGUUUGGCUGUGUCCACACCCACAUCUCAUCUUGAAUUCCCAUGUGUUAUGGGAGGGACCCAGUGGGAGGUAACAGAAUCAUGAGGGCAGGUCUUUCCCUGCUGUCACCAUGAUAGUGAAUAAGUCUCAUGAGAUCUGAUGGUUCUAAAAAGGAGAGUUUCCCUGCACAAGUUCUCUUCUUUUUCUGCUGCCAUGUGAGAUGUGCCUUUCACCUUCCACCAUGAUUGUGAGGCCUCCCCAGCCAUGUGGAACCAUAAGUCCAUUAAGCCUCUUACUUUUGUAAAUUGCCCAGUCCUUGGUAUGUCUUUAUCAGCAGUGUGAAAAUGGACUAAUGCAUUUGCCAUGAAGUAUCUUGCUUUUAUUAUUAUUUUCAUAUCACUCUAGUAUAUCAACUUUUGAAACAAAAGACAUUCUAUUUAUAGCAUUCAAAUUUUAGUAGUGGCAUUUCCAUUUGCAAAUAUAGUAAUUCUGUAUUGCUGAAAAUGUCAAAUCCUAGAAAAUGAAGCAUUCCUACAUGUGAUGUUAACAUCAUUCUCAAACAGUUGUUGGCUGAA